UUUUUUUAACCUCUACUAUUUUAUUUUAGUUUCUUUUUAUUUAUGUUUAUAAAUUAUAAAAGUGACACCUAAAUAACGUUACGAUUUAUGCCACUGUCACAAAUUAAGUCGGCAUUCUAAAUAAAGUACUUUGCACGGGUUUACUAUUUAAGGAGCAUUUAAAUAGUUGUUUUUGCUAAUGUUUUAGUUAGUUUAGUGCAAUUAAAUAUUUUAUAAAAAUGUGGUUUCUUCACCCAAAUUACCUGUGCAUUAACUGGCACAAUCCGAACAUUUUGGUUUUAAUAUUUGAAAACUUUUGAGGUUUGCUUUUAUUUUGAAUUUGAAUUCGGACGGGAUUUGAAUCUUUGCGAGAUUAGCAACAGUAAUCGUGGGGACGUGCCAUCAUUAGUAGUAGUUUACUGUAGCAUAAUUAUCCGGGCGUCACAAUUCUCCUCCACUACAAGAAAUCUCGUCCCGAGAUUUAAGAGGUGGAAUAAGGGGGAAACGUCUGGUUACGAAAUCCUAACGAAUCUUCUCGGUCUUGGUUGCUCCUCUCAAAGUGGUCGAUCCAUAGCACUGAUGUCUUCAUUUCUCUGCUUCAGGUCAUCAGGAUGAAGUUGUCGUCAUUCUUUCAGGAUCUUCACCGUAAUUACGAAAGGGUAAGAAGGGAAAACUCGAUAUGGAUGGAUCCUAACAAGAUCGAGCAUCAGACGGUUAACUUGGGGAAGAAGCAUGAUUAUCUCUCGAUUUGAAACUUAAGAAGAUACCGAGAGCAAAGUAAGAAGGUACCAUGAGAAGCUCCAACGGAUAGGCAAUCGUUCGAUGCCUAAUCAGUAGGUGAAAGGGUUUUAGGGCAACGAGAAUAGGUAUUGCACCCCAUACCAUAAUAGAUCACUAGACAGGUGGUCCGUGAAUUACCUACGAAGUCAAGCGCGAGGAACAACCUUGGGAACAGGCGAUGUACAAGAGAGUCAGGUUUCGAUCCUGUGGAAUUGUGGGUUAUGGGCCCACCAUGUGGGAUAAAAGUAGGAGUGGUGACAUCUUGCAUGGUCAUGAUAGCAAGGCAUGUCAGAGGAUAGCCUGUCAGUUAUGUCGGCAACAACAUCGAUACUAAGGGCGAGGGACGAAGAGAAUCAUUUUCCCGCUCGUUGAACGAGGCGGACCAAUAAGCAAAGUUCUCGUCCAUCGGUGGUUACCGGGAUGCUAUCAACAAUGGUAAUAGGGUCUUACUGACAGAGUUGUACGCUGAGGAGCUUAUAAAAGCAGUGACGUAUUACUGCUUAGAUCAUAUAAACCUCAAGAAGGUUAAACAGAACAAUGGAAAGUAAGAAUGUGAUUCUUAGAUUAAACAGAAGAAUGGAAAGGAAAAUGUGAUUAAACACAUAUUUCAGGGUAUAUCCUUCCCAUGAACAAGCAGAGUAUGAUAUCCAAGACCGGAUAGAAGGUAGAAAACUCUUUUAGGUAGGAGAGACAAAUUUCAUGACAUUACCCAUACAACGGUGUUUGGGUAAUUUCAACAAGAAACAUUUAGCAUGGUGCUUCAAAUGUUCUUAUUGAAAAUCGGAGUACCAUAGACAUGCUUCGAGAUAGCGCUGACAUGGUCAACAGGUGAAAAUCAGACUUUGGAAACAAAAAGGAUCCAUUAGGAAUAACUUGUAGAAUAAGUCUUACAGUUUCCUCAUGGAAGAAUGGAUAACAUUGCUAAAAAGGGAACUAUAACAAUAGGGCCUCCGGCCAGGUGGGCUAGGUAUGAUACCACCUUACCGGGUCGUCUAAAGACCAACGUUAUAACUCUUGGAAAUAAGUUCCAACCAUCAUAUCUGACCGAGAUUCAGAUUUGAUUGGUGUCAGGAUACCUCAGACUCGGGAUGCCUGAGAAGAAAAGGUGCAACACAAUUUGACGAGAUGACAUUGUGAGAUUCUCAGAAGUGAUCUAUGUAAGUGAGCUCUGAAACAAGAGGUCAUCAGUAAACCAAGGAGAGGAUGAGGAGGUGGCUGAUAGGCUCAGCAACAAAUCAUCGAGAUUUCCAAAGGAUUGAUUUCCACAAUUAUGUGAACAAGGAAAUAUCAUUUGUCGGAUCAAAUGUCAUAAUGAUGUAUGCUUGAGGGAAACAUACACAACUGAACAAUGAUAGAAGGGUGCACCCAGGAAUCUGGACUAGGUAGCACGAUCAAUGUUUGAAUGAUGAUUCAAUAAUCAAUAGACUUAGAAUGAAACUGUAGACCAAUAACUUCAAGCAAUAGGGUUGCUAGAAGUUUAGAAUUUGCACAACACAGACCAUUAGUCGGUAUUCCGGUUAGAAACAAUACGGAGACCAAGAAAUGAACGCAAAAGGCGAGAGAUAUUACUAUAUCAAGAAUUCUCAAGAGGUGGUAAAAUUACCACGACAUUCCUGACAUAAAAGGUGGUAACAUUCCAAGGUAAAGAAGAACAAAUGCUGUAUAGCAAGGAUCUCAAGGUAUAACUCAAAACACGAAUAAGUUUGUGUUGGAGGGAAGGCAAUAAAGUGGCCGAUGAUAAUACAAUUCAUCGGGGGCAAGGAUGGUAUUUCUCAUCAUGAAUUCAAUUGAUAUCCAGGAAGACCUCAUAAGGUUGAUGAUCUUCACGGCACAUUGGUCGAGAGAUUUCAAGAUGUAAUCAAUCAGUGACAACAUCAAAUCAAAGGAAUGAUGAAGCGGAAGGUUAUUGGAUCCAUGGGCAGGGCACAAACUUGAAAUCAAGCUUGUUGUUCAAGGUGAACUGAUAUGACGAGGAAGAUCGACGUAAGCUUAGCUCAUCAUCGAAAGUUGUGCUCCGGGAUUAAGGACCAGGUAGCACAGUUAAAAUUUAGCACGAUAAUGAUAUAGCCGAUCAGACUAGGAAUGACAUGAUCGAGUACAAACUCGGACUUAAAGAAGAUUAUCAAGAGUUGCUGAACCGUAGGGCAGACUCGGUUCAGUUAUCGGUGUCUUUGAGUGUUUAAUAACUCAGAGCCCAUGAAAACUGUAAUCAGUGAGAAUGUAGUACUUGAUGAAGAACUCAUAAGAAGUUAUGCAGUUUCAAGAUAAUCUCGAGAUACCAGGGGGUAAUACUCGAAGACGGAUCAAAGUAGAGGUUGGACCGAGGUAUUGAUCCACAUGAGACAAGUGCUUACACUUGCAUCGAAAAUGGUAUUUAAAAGAGAACAUGGUCGGAACCACGAUUGUAAAAGGCCGGAUCCCAGAUAUAAGAUGAACUUAUACCAAGGGAACUAAUAUCAUUUACAAGAAGCUUCGAUGAUAAGUUUCACAUCGGGUCCAUGGGCAUGAACGCAAAGGCUCAAGGUCGACUCCCAAUUCUUCCAUGCAUAACCUUUCAUUUUACUUCUCGUUUUUUUGAUGAAGCUGUAGUAUAGAAAUUUUAUCUAGCAAAAUACCAGAAGAGUAUGACUCGUGAAAACUUUCGAGUUCACACAUGAUAAGGAAGGCAUAGGUUCAACCCGUUAGGGUAUCGUGGAAACACAUACCACAAGCUUCAAUAGUAAAUACAACCAGCUCGAAAACAGAGCAUGGUUGAGGAAGCAGAGGAUACAAUUUACCAAAGGCUUUAUAUAUCCAUGUAAAGGCUCACAAGGUUACUUGAAUGUGAAGGACACUUUCGGAUAAAAUCCAGCAAAUGAUCUGGUGGUCCUCAAGGGAUCUGGUGCGAGCAUCGGUACUCAACCAGAGGGAGAAACAAUGCAAGGAGAUCAGACUUUAGAAACAACUGACUAAUUCAAGGCUCAAAUGCAAAGGAAUUAUCAAUUCCAAGACAAGGGAUCAGAAGAAAUGCUCUGAUCAGGGAUGGAUAAGUUGAAUAGCCUUAAGGGUACAAUCGACAGCAAUUUGAUUGGUCGAGAUACAGCUCAUGUUUUAAAAUAACGUCUGAGCCGGAAAGAUAAUUUAAAAGGAUCAACUGAUGAUUGCGUGCAUUCGCACUCCUGUUGAAUCAAUAGGAUCAAAAAGACGAUGCCUAAAGAUACUAACGAAUAUUGCCAGACAUAUGGAAAGCAUCCAUAAUGCAAGCAGGCAAGUAUUGCAGAGCAAUAAGCUACUAGGGAUUUUUGGAGGAUCGAAUAGUAUUUCGAAGACCAUUUUGAAACAUAUGAACAACUGGGGAUGAGUGGAUACUCGACAAGUGCGAGGAUUUAAUUGAAGGGGUAUUCAUGUGGCAAGGAACUGCUAGGCAGUAGGCACAAAGUAUUCUCGGAACCAUAGAGAAGACUUCGGGGUAUCUUGUAAUAACAAGAUCAAUGGGGGAUGAGCGUAUGAAUGGCAAGUGUAAGUAGUUAUCCAUAAGGAUUUAUCGGUGGUCGGGAAUAGCACAAGUGAUGGGCACAAAGUCUCGAGAGGAAUAGCAAAGAGUAUCUUUGGAAUCUUCCGGUGAAGCAGGCCAUCAUCUGGAAUGAAAGGGCUCUCCGGGAGAAAGUAUUUACGAGAUCCUAGAGUCAGAGUUAGCAAAACCAUUUAACCCGAAUAGAAGAGAGAUCAGGGUCCCAGAGUAAAGGAGAGGAAUAAAAGAUUCUAAUACCACCCAAAUGGCGACGUGGGCCCGUAAGCCGCACAGCCAUGUUAGUAAAAGUUUUGUAAUGUCUAGACUCGACUCCGGCCAAGGAGUGUGGAAGGGGGAUUCCUACAGGCAGUCGGCUCUGAUACCAACUUGUGACGCCCCCGAUUUAAUCGUACACUAAUCAUACACGCAAACGUGUACGAUCAAGAUCAGGGACUCACGGGAAGAUAUCACAACACAACUCUACAAAUAAAAAUAAGUCAUACAAGCAUCAUAUUACAAGCCAGGGGCCUCGAAGGCUCGAAUACAAGAGCUCGAUCAUAGACGAGUCAGCGGAAGCAGCAAUAUCUGAGUACAGACAUAAGUUAAACAAGUUUGCCUUAAGAAGGCUAGCACAAACUGGGAUACAGAUCGAAAGAGGCGCAGGCCUCCUGCCUGGGAUCCUCCUAAGCUACUCCUGGUCGUCGUCAGCGGGCAACACGUAGUAGUAGGCACCUCCGGUGUAGCAGGAGUCGUCGUCGACGGUGGCAUCUGGCUCCUGGGCUCCGACAUCUGGUUGCGACAACCAGGUAGAAGGGAUAGAGGGAAAAGAAGGAGAAAGCAACCGUGAGUACUCAUCCAAAGUACUCGCAAGCAAGGAGCUACACUACAUAUGUAUGCAAUGGUAUCAACUGGGAUAAGGCUAUUAUAAGUGGACUGAACUGCAGAAAGCCGGAAUAAGAGGGGGAUAGCUAAUCCUGUCGAAGACUACGCUUCUGGGAGCCUUCGUCUUGCAGCAUGUAGAAGAGAGUAGACUGAAGUCCUCCAAGUAGCAUCAUAUAGCAUAAUCCUAACCGAUGAUCCUCCCCUCGUCGCCCUGUGAGAGAGCGAUCACCGGUUGUAUCUGGCACUUGGAAGGGUGUGUUUUAUUAAGUAUCCGGUUCUAGUUGUCAUAAGGUCAAGGUACAACUCCGGGUCGUCCUUUACCGAGGGACACGGCUAUUCGAAUAGAUAAACUUCCCUGCAGGGGUGCACCACAUACCCCAACACGCUCGAUCCCAUUUGGCCGGACACACUUUCCUGGGUCAUGCCCGGCCUCGGAAGAUCAACACGUCGUAGCCCCACCUAGACCAACAGAGAGGUCAGCACGCCGGUCUAAACCUAAGCGCCCAGGGGUCUGGGCCCAUCGCCCUUAGCACACCUGCACGUUGCGAGGGCGGCCGGAAGCAGACCUAGCCUAGUGGCGUUCCAGUCCAAUCCAGCGCGCGCCGCUCCGUCGCUGACGUCAAGAAGGCUUCGGCUGAUACCACGACGCCGGGAUACCCAUAACUACUCCCACGUAGAUGGUUAGUGCGUAUAGACCAAAUGGCCAGACUCAGAUCAAAUACCCAGAUCUCGUUAAGCGUGUUAAGUAUCCGCGAACGCCGACCAGGGCCAGGCCCACCUCUCUCCUAGGUGGUCUCAACCUGCCCUGUCGCUCCGCCUCAAGUAACAGUCGGGGGCCGUCGGGAACCCAGGCCCACCUCUACCGGGAUGGAGCCACCUGCCCCUUCAGCCCCCAUCUCCGAACAGUACCACAGGUAAUGUAUCUGUGUAAAGUAUAUAGUAUAUGCCCGUGAUCACCUCCCGAAGUGAUCACGGCCCAGUAGUAUAGCAUGGCAGACGGACAAGAGUGUAGGGCCACUGAUGGAACACUAGCAUCCUAUACUAAGCAGUAGGAUAGUCGGUAAUGGUAACAACAGUAGUAGCAAGGACAAGCUAUGCAUCAGGAUAGGAAUAACGGAAAGCAGUAACAUGCUACACUACUCUAAUGCAAGCAGUAAAGAGGAGAGUAGGCGAUAUCUGGUGAUCAAGGGGGGGGGGCUUGCCUGGUUGCUCAGACAAGAAUGAGGGGUCGUCAACACCGUAGUCGACCGGGGCAUCAACGGCGUCGGUCUCGUAGUCUACCGGAAAGAAGUAACGGAGGGGGAACACAAUAAAUAACAGAGCAAUCAAAUCAUAACAUGACAAACGUGGUGCUAGAGGUGAUCUAACGCAGGGAUAGGUGAUACCGGCGAAGGGGGGAAACCUCCGGGAAAGUAUUCCCGGUGUUUCGCGUUUCCAGACAGAUGAACCGGAGGGGGAAAGUUGCGUGUUUGCUAUGCUAGGGAUGUGUAGCGGACGAACGGACUGCGUAUCUGGAUUCGUCUCGUCGUUCUGAGCAACUUUCAUGUACAAAGUUUUUCCAUCCGUGCUACGAUUUAUUUUAUAUUGAUUUUAAAAGAUUUAAAUCAUUUUCAGGAAUUAAUAGAUUAAUUUAAUUAAAGAAAUGCAAUUAUGAUGUCAGCGUGAUGUCAGCAAGGCCAAAAGUUGACUAGGUCAACCCUGCAGGUGGGACCCAUUCGUCAUUGUCACAAUUUUAUUUAACCUAGCUAAUUAGUUUAAUCACUUGAUUAGGUUUACUAAAUUUAUUCAAUUUAGUGAAACAGAAUUAAUUAACUUAAUCCAUUCACUAAUUAAUUAAUUAAUUACUAAUUUAUUUAUUUUGACAUUUAAUCUUUUUAUUUUAAACCGUUCUGGGGCGGGGCCCCUUGUCAUAUGCAGUUAGGUUUAACUAAAUCUUAUCCUUUUAAACAGUGAACGGGUCCACAUGUAAUAGUCUCGGAUUUUAUUCAAAGAGUUGUCUAGCUAUUCCUAAUUAGUUGGGGCCCACAUGUCAUAGUGACAGGGGCAACAAAUAGGGUAAUUAAUGCCCCUAAUUAACCGGACACGUCAGCUGGCCAGAGAUAACCGCCGGCAACGUCCAGGCGCGGUGGAGGAGCAUCGGGGUUGCACUACGAGCGAUGGUUCGGCGAGUCGAGCACAUCUACGAGUAGCUAUGACUCGGCCACAUCCACUGGUGGAGUUGGGACAUGGGUGGCCGAAGAAGGCCACAACGACGACGGCCAUCGGCGGCAGCGGCACGAGUUCGACGGUGCUGCGGGGAGCGGAGCAGGGCACGGCGAGGCACGCGCGUGGCAGCACUGGGCGAGCAGGCACAUGGUGGGGCGAGCCGGGGAGGCUACGGUGAGCGUGGCGGGGUUCGAGAGGAGGGGAAGGCAGGCGCGGCUCACCGGGAGUAGGAUGGGGAGGGCAAUAGGCUCGGGGUGGAGUUGGGGUCGUGCAACGCGGCGGCGAUGGGCGGAUGCGGACGAAGGAGAACGACGCAGGCGUCGCGCGGGAGGUGCCGGUGGUGCUGGAUGGUUGCUCCAAUGGCCGACGCGGCAUGGGCCGACGGGGAUGAGGUAGUCGGGCAGGGGCGACGGGAAGGCGCAGGGGAAGGGAAGGAAGGGAGCCGGUGGGUGGCAAGGCGGCAGAGCGUCGCCGGAGUGGCUCACGUUCGCGAUGGUAGGAGGCGCUCACGUAGGGGACGGAUGCGGGGAGCUCCUCUCCCGUGUGCCUGGCGUGGUGGCGGCGGGUGAGGGUGACGAGGGGAGAGGUGGGGUCGUGGGGGUGUUUGGGGAUUAGGUCACACAAGAGGGGCCAUAUAGGCCAAGAGAGGUGCGGCUGGGCCGGCCAGUUGGGCCGAGCCCCAGCUGGGCCGGGGUCCAUUUGCCCAUUUUUUUAUACUUGUUUUUUUUAACCUCUACUAUUUUAUUUUAGUUUCUUUUUAUUUAUGUUUAUAAAUUAUAAAAGUGACACCUAAAUAACGUUACGAUUUAUGCCACUGUCACAAAUUAAGUCGGCAUUCUAAAUAAAGUACUUUGCACGGGUUUACUAUUUAAGGAGCAUUUAAAUAGUUGUUUUUGCUAAUGUUUUAGUUAGUUUAGUGCAAUUAAAUAUUUUAUAAAAAUGUGGUUUCUUCACCCAAAUCACCUGUGCAUUAACUGGCACAAUCCGAACAUUUUGGUUUUAAUAUUUGAAAACUUUUGAGGUUUGCUUUUAUUUUGAAUUUGAAUUCGGACGGGAUUUGAAUCUUUGCGAGAUUAGCAACAGUAAUCGUGGGGACGUGCCAUCAUUAGUAGUAGUUUACUGUAGCAUAAUUAUCCGGGCG
rnacentral:lncRNA from 1 species